rnacentral:lncRNA from 1 species
UGCCAUCUGAUGAAUUUUCAUUUUUCUUGUGUUUGGUUAACUCUUGUGUUUGGCAAAUUCUCCCAAGCGUGAACACGCUAGUAACGAGUUCUUUUUAUGGAAGAGCAAAUCACUCGAUAUUUUAACCUGGGAUAAGUGGGUCACGUAUUAGUUACGUGUCAUUUUUCAUGACACUUGUAGAGUCUUGAUAAUGGUGAUUAAUUAGUAGAAUCGUGUGUGCAUGAAUUACAAUUAAGAAUACUGCUUAGUGAGAUACGAGUUAAGUUUGUUUAUAUAUAUAUAACUGAAGUUCAUGAGAAGAGACUCUAUUUUGCUUCCUUCUUUUGAAUCUUUAUUCCUCCCCGAAAAAAUUAGAGUGUUAUUCAUUGUUGAAGGAGAAGCGGUUUGCAUAGCUUUUCUAGAAUGUACCCUUGUUCAAGCCUAUUGAAGGUAAACUCUUGAGCCUUUUAGUUAUUUAGGAAACUAAAUGAUAGUUGGAAACAUUUAAAUAGGUUUUCUUAGGAAGUUCUUGAUUGAAGAUAUACUUCCCUUUUAAUCAUUGAUGUAUGCUGCCGAUGCUUUUAUUUUUGUGAAAGAUUCGACUGUUUUUGUACUUAAUAGAGAUAUUUGAUUGUUUUUAGCUAAAAAAAUGGGAGAAGGCCUGAUUGCAAAAGGAAAAGAACCCAUAGGGUAGAUAGAGCUUACUCUGAAGUUUUUUGGUGAGUUUUUUUUCACUUGUGUUUAACUAAUAAACGUAUAAACUCAACUAAAUACAGUCUAUCUAGGUAAAGUUGUUAAACUUUUAACUGUGUUUAACCUGAAGUAGGUUAGUCUCAUAAAAUGAAAGUUAUAAUAUAUGUUAAGUAUUACUGUUGUGUGUUGAUACCGUAUAUUCUCAUGAUGGAAGAUAAGAUAUGAACUUAAAUGAAAGUGCAUGUGUGUUUAAAAUGGAUAUUCCUUCCUUGGUGUACAAGCUCCGCAUCUUGAAUGGUGGAAAGGUGUUUUGGAGGUAAAUCAUGGAUGUGUGAUUGUAUUGGAAGAAGUACGGAGAUAUUAAAUUGAUAUGUGAUUUUCCUCUGAUAUGGCAUGUAAAUGCAAACUGAGAUUAGUGAAUGGCCCUGGCCUUGCGAGGGAACACGUAUAUGUUCGAACUAACAAUGAGGAUUUGAGGAGGUUUGGUUAGAUAAAUGUAUACUGGUUCUAUAAAGUGAUAUUGUGAAAAUAGCUCUUCGGAGUGUUGAUUGGAUAAUAACCUAACACAAGCAACGGUCCAUGUCCUGUUCAUGUUUAAGUAUGUUUUACGUAAAGUAUUACAUAAGAGGUUAUGAUAGGUAUCUGCACAUAAACUAUUGUUAAUGUGUCUUACUCUAUUAAGGAAUUAUACCUAAAAAUGGAUAGUGUUCGCAAUCUGUAGUAAUAAUUUUGCGCUAUAUAUCUGCCAAUGAAUGGGCGAACAUGAAAUGUCACAUUUGCGAGUAAAACUAAUUUUAAAUUGAACUUGCCUUGUUUAUUUUCUCCAAUUUCAGGAUUUUAGGUUCUCGUGGACCCUUGAAGACUUAGCUAGAAAGCGGAUACAAUUGUGAAUGUUGUGUUUGGUUUUGUAACAUGCAUAUAUGUAUCGGGGUAGCUUAUGGACAAAUUAAUUGGUUUUUUAAAACGAUGUACUGUGAAUUUUAAAUCUUGUUGUAUUCGAGUACUUUACUUUUAGUAAAUUAAUUUAUAAAGGCAUUAGCCAAACUUUAAAUUCCUAAUUAUUAUCAC